rnacentral:lncRNA from 1 species
UUGGCUAUUUAUGAUCCAUCACCUUUUAAAAACCUGUGGAGAAGCCAGCGUGGGCCCAUGUUAAUGCCUCUUUCUUGUGUUGCUGUUGGCUUUUAGCACGUCUGGAGUGAGAGUGAGGACUGCUUACCUUUUCUGCAGCUCGCGCAGGAUUACAUCUCUUCCUGUGGGAAAAAGACACUCCAUGAAAUACUGGAAAAAGUCUUCAAAUCCUUCAGACCUCUACUUGGGCUUCCAGAUGUUGAUGAUGAUGCGUUUGAAGAAUAUAAUGCAGAUAUGGAAGAAGAGGAACCAGAAGCGGAUCACCAGCAAAUGGGUAGAAAAGGAAGAUUGCUGCUAUCACCAACGUCCAUGCUAACUUUGCAGGCAGAUGAAAAUUCCUGAAAUGCUGCAUGAUUUCACCAACCUGUACUGCUGCAUAAAGAACUCCUGAAGGUGUCCUGGUGAAGCUUUUUCCUUCUGUCUUCUUCCUGCAUUGCUUGAAGGCACCACAUUUCCCUUUAGAAAAUAAACAUGUCACGUACUUAGGAAUUUAUUCUGCC